CCUUGGCUGGAUCACCGUCGCACACCUCACCGGCGUGGUCGGCAAGAUCUGCAUCUCGAUCCUCGCCACUCUCCAUCCUCUUGCAGGUUUAUAAAUUUCGAAAUAUAGUUGCAGCUUCACAGAAUGGACGGCCCAAAUUAUGUUAGUGUCUAUAUGUUUACUUGGUGGUGGUCUAGCGUGAGUGACACCUGCAUCUGUAACUUACCCAUUGGAUGUUCUUCGAUAUCACCUGACAACACAGAAAACCACUAGGUAUUACAAGGGCAUCUUUCACACGUUGUCUACAAUUUGUAGAGAAGAGAAUAGUAGAGGAUUGUAUAAAGGCCUUUGGUCCACCUUAUUGUAUCAUUUUUUGUCAAGAAACUGAGAAGACGGAAGAGAGUUGGUGUUGUCAGUGUGGUGAGCCUAUGCGGCAACCACAAGGCUGAAGUCUGCUUUGAUCGUUAUUCAAGAUUUGAGCCUUGGCUCCGGUUUUGAUAGCUCUAUAUCAACUUUCAGCGAGUUUUUGUUCUCGGACUUGGGAUCCACAGUCCAAAGUUGAUUGGUGGAUCAAGUGAACUUGGUGCAUCUCCAUUCAAGCUGGAGUACAAUUACCGGCCUGCUUGUUUAGCGCAGUCUCCACAAU